UGUGUAGGCUGCCCCGCAAGUCGGAUGUGAAAGCCCUGGGCUCAACCUGGGAAGUGCAUUCGAAACUGCGGGGCUGGAGUCCUGGAGAGGAAGGCGGAAUUCUCGGUGUAGAGGUGAAAUUCGUAGAUAUCGAGAGGAACACCGGUGGCGAAGGCGGCCUUCUGGACAGUGACUGACGCUGAGACACGAAAGCGUGGGGAGCAAACA
rnacentral:rRNA from 1 species